UAUACACCAGACGAGAGAGCCGAGGUUACAUAAUGUUACCUCAGGUAUUUUUACCUGGUCUCAGUGCCCUGAAAAAACCCUGGCGCAUUCAAUACUAUUACAUAACUUCCACGUCUAAACACAAAACAGGUGGCGCGCCAUUCGCGCUAGAAAACCUCCCAAAAAACCUCCAAACAAGUCUCAAAAAUCUGAAAACGAAUGAAAUUAAUCAUGUAAAGUUCCCUUCCCUUGAUAAGUUCAUAUUUUGAUAUCAUUUUUUGCAGGUUGUCGUUGUCAAGGUGAAUUGUUGUUGUCAAGGUGACCUGAGCAGGUUGAGGUGGCUCUGUGCCCUCAGCCGCCGAAAGAAUGUCUGCAGACUUCACUUGUCUGGCCUGACGUCAGAGGUUGCGCAACUUUUCCAUUUUGUUAGGAAGGUCAAGCCAAGUCUCAUGAAGGCCAAAAAGAGAAAUGCCCAAAGCAGAGAUUUUGUAGCGAGUAUCAGUCACGGAUAAGCUUCGUCGCCAUGAUCAUGGUCAUCAGGAUGAUGCUCAAGAUGACGAUGUUCUUGUCCUACCGCUCCUGUCAUCAACAAACGACUUGAGAAAUCUGAAGCAUCCGAACUACCAGACGACAUCCCACUAUAACUUCCUUCACUCAUCACGAAUAAAUCGUCUGCUUCUAUAAAUCGUCUGCUUCUAAAUCGUCUGCGAACUUUAAAACUUGAUUGAGUUAUAAGAGGUUAUCCAAGUUUCCUCAUAUACGUUUGGGCCUGGGCUAUGAAGAUGUUUCCAUUGAAGUCUGCUACCCUUGUUGAUGUGGUCCGGUCCCUUUCUGGGGAUAUCAGGGUCUCCAAGUAUCAGCGUGACCUGAUUGUUCCAAGGCAGACGGAGUAAUGGCGCUCCUAUGAUGUAACAGUCAACACAGCCAGAUCGACGGACUGGUGCACUUCUCAAGGGGUGCAGGCUUGUGGAACUAAGGUGAAGGACGUUUGGGCUAGCCAGACAUGAUGUUUAACACCAUGUCCACCGACUACACACACAGUUAUACCCCUGCCAAUAGUCCUUUGUCCCUUGUCUUUCUGUUGCAUCAAAUGUUAAAUAGUUCCAAGCAACAGCUGAGAUAUAUAAAAAAGAAUGGGUAGGAAGUGGGACUAUACCUAGGAGUGGGUAGGAAGUGGGACUAUACCUAAAAAGUGUAUGCUAAGUCAUGUAUUCUGGUUAUAAAUAGCCUUUGAAAGGGAUCAAGUCUGAAGCAUGGGGUCACCAAUAUGUCACCUAGACUAAGUUGCCGGGCUAAGUCGUAGCAUAGGCUUUUUAUUGUGAACCCCUUUAUUACGUUUAUUGUGAAAUAGGGUUGUGAUUACCCUAGUUGUUACUAGUAAAUCCAUCAUCACCACCCAGGGCCUGAGGGCAGAUAAGGUGUCAUUAUCACAAUAGGUGUUACUGAACUAACCAUUCAGUUAUUUACUAACUUCUUGGCGAUGAACACCUCACAGGCAGCUGACAGGCACGACAGAUAUGUUGAUGAAAGGUUGGGCCCCUCCUUCACCCACUCAUACCCCCUGCGAUUACUAAAACAAAACAUCAUGAAGUGCAUCCAAGUCCAACUCAAGGCAAAGAUGAUCAAACCGGGCUUUGAUGUUCGAGUCAUUCGCCACUGCACUUCAGAUUCCACAGCUGAUCAUAGUUCGGGCUAGUCAUCAUCAGUUUAUACUAUGAUAAGGGUUGAUACCAUAGUUCAGGGUAGUCGUCAUCAGUUGAUACCAUAGUUUAAGGCAGUCAUCAUCAGUUUAUACUAUGAUUAGGGUUGAUACCAUAGUUCAGGGUAGUCGUCAUCAGUUGAUACCAUAGUUUAAGGAAGUCAUCAUCAGUUUAUACUAUGAUUAGGGUUGAUACCAUAGUUCAGGGUAGUCAUCAUCAGUUUAUACUAUGAAUAGGGUUGAUAAAAUAGUUCAGGGUAGUCGUCAUCAGUUGAUACCAUAGUUUAAGGCAGUCAUCAUCAGUUUAUACUAUGAUUAUGGUUGAUACCAUAGUUCAGGGUAGUCGUCAUCAGUUGAUACCAUAGUUUAAGGCAGUCAUCAUCAGUUGAUACCAAAGCUCAGGGUAGUCGUCAUCAGUUAAUACCAUAGUUUAAGGCAGUCAUCAUCAGUUUAUACCAUAGUUCAGGGUUGUCAUCAUCAGUUGAUACCAUAGUUCAGGGUAGUCGUCAUCAGUUGAUACCAUAGUUUAAGGCAGUCAUCAUCAGUUGAUACCAUAGUUCAGGGUAGUCGUCAUCAGUUGAUCGUUAGUUCGUGACAUUUAUGAAAAAUUCCGCAUGUCCAGCACAAUUGGCUGUUUAGUAGUUUUAAAUGCCCUCCUCGCGGAAAAAGAAAAAAAUGUAUCAUCAACCAUUCCGCAAAACACGUGGUUCGAGCCACACCCACUUUGCACAUGGCUCGAGGAUAAUUAUAGAAUGGUGUGACGUCACAAACCUAUAAAUAGAUAUGUCGCUUACGAAACUAACAUUCGGCUCGGAAGACAGUCAAUGGGCGUCAAGAGAAAAUGUCAUAGCUUUCUU